CCUUCGAUAGCUCAGUUGGUAGAGCGGUGGACUGUAGUACGACAUUUGCAGUUGCAGCAGUUGUUGGGGUCGAUGUUCAUUAAUCGAUCACCGAUCAGUCUUCCUCCAGCAGCAACUUCAAAGCAAUAGCUAUCCAUAGGUCACUGGUUCAAAUCCGGUUCGAAGGA
rnacentral:tRNA from 1 species